AACACAUCAUUGCACUGUUGCCGUUUUUCAAUUUCUCAACCUUUUAAGGAGCUGAAUGAAUCCCGCCGCCGCGGCAGACAAAGAAGCGAAGCUGAAGACGAAUGAAGCUGCACACAGUGCCACUGUGUGCCCACCAUGACCAGACACCCCGCUUCCUCUCCUGCCGUGACCCGGAGACGGCAGUCGGGCCCAUCUGUGCCACGUUGUGCUGUUGUUCCAGCAGACGGCUUCCCCCGUGACAUCACCACAGCCAGACGGUGAUGCAGCCUGCGGUACGGGACACGCUGAC
ensembl:lncRNA